GAGAGAGAGAGAGAGAGAGAAGGCCAGAACAAAGUCAGGGAAGAACAAAAAGAAGAAAUAUACAAGUGCAAACUUCAACGCCAUCCUCAAAAUUUGGGAAAAUAUUGCAAAUAAUUGGAUUAGACAAUUGCAAGUGCACAGAUGUUAAGUUUUUUUUUUUUUUAGUAAUUUGGCCUUAAAAGUAUGCAAAGUAUUUUAUUAAUAUUCAGCACCAUCAAAGUUUGGUAAAUUUAACCCAUAACAAUUGUUUGCAAUGCAUAUUAUUUAUUGACUUUAUUAAAUUAUUAAAUGUCAAAGGACUUUAACCUCAUUAAAGAGUACAAUUUCAACCGUGAACUUACAAUAUGACUUCUAUAGAAUUUAAAAAGAGGUUUAAUGACAUCGUAAAAACUUUCAGCAAAGAAGUGGGGCAAAGUUCAAAGAUCUACACAUAGAUUCAAUAGUUAGAGCCUUCAGAUAAAUCUAUUCCAAGGACAAUCACAAGUCAUUCUGCCAAGGGCCAAAUAGAAUUCACACCUAUCGUAUCCAAUUAAGAUCUUAAUUUCAUAUGUAGUCUACCACUAUGCCUAACAGUUCAAAUGAUGAACCGGCCUCAACCCCCUCCCCCCCAAUAAUUAUGUAAGCACAGAUUCUGUUGGAGGUAGUAUGACAUACCAAGAAAAGAAGAAAAAACUUGUA
rnacentral:misc_RNA from 1 species